rnacentral:rRNA from 1 species
GGUGAGUAACGCGUGAGGAACCUGCCUUUCAGAGGGGGACAACAGUUGGAAACGGUAGCUAAAGACUGGAUAUGAUAGAAAUAUUUAAAGGAUGCUAAGGCAUCGCUAAUAGAGGGGCUUGCGGCGCAUUAGCUAGUUGGUAGGUAAAAGCCAACCAAGGCGAUGAUGCGUAGCCGACCUGAGAGGGUGACCGGCCACACUGGGACUGAGACACGGCCCAGACUCCUACGGGAGGCAGCAGUAGGGAAUCUUCGGCAAUGGACGAAAGUCUGACCGAGCAACGCCGCCGUGAGUGAAGAAAGUUUUCGGAUUGUAAAGCUCUGUUAUUAGGGAAGAAAGGCUCUAGGAGGAAAUGCUUAGGGAUUGACGGUACCUAAUGAGGAAGCCACGGCUAACUACGUGCCAGCCGCCGC